GCGUCUUCUCUAGUCGUUUUCCCCUGCUGGUGAGAAAGUUGCAGAGCAAAAAUGGCAGGACAAUUGGCGAUCGCUUUGAAAGCUCUGUUCAUCGUAUUAGGAUGUUUCAUGAUAGCUACUCUCAUUUACACAAUUUCCAUCGACGGCCUUCCUUUCCGUAAAGAGCUUCUCACUCCAUGGAUGGGAGCUACCUUAAUUGAUUUCUACAUCAACGUUGUUGCUAUAGGGGUUUGGAUUGUCUACAAGGAAUCUAACUGGAUCACUGCAAUUUUAUGGUCAAUUUUAUUAGUAUGCUUCGGAAGUAUAACCACAUGUGGUUACAUAGUAUUGCAAUUGCUCAAGCUGUCACCACAAGAAUCCGUGCAAGAUCCAAUGUACCAUGUUUUAUUGCGGAAACAGAACCAGAUUGCAGUAGAACAGAGAAAUAACACGUAUGUUGUACUAGCAAGAGUUAUCUUUGGCAUCCUUGGUUGCUUGAUGUUGGGAACCUUGAUCUACACCAUCUUGACUGAUGGUUCUCCUUUUCGAAGUGAACUUCUUACACCGUGGAUGGUGGCGACCCUCAUUGAUUUUUACAUCAAUACAGUGGCUUUAUCGGUAUGGAUAGCAUAUAAGGAAUCAAGUUGGUUGAGCGCAGUUGUUUGGAUUAUCUUACUAGUAUGUUUCGGAAGUUUUACAACAUGCGUGUACAUAGUUCGCCAGCUAUUAUACCUUUCGCCCCAUGAUCCAGUCUAUCUUGUUCUCUUGAAUAGUGGCGACAGGGACGUUACUAAGAUGUGAAUAAUUAAUCAUUGGAUUAGGUAACUGCUUGCUUCAUUAUUAGAGGACGAAAUACUAGGAAAGAAAGAAGCCAUGAGAGGGGAAUCGAGACUAGAGAGUAUAUGAAGUGUUUCUUGUUGGACCAACAGUAAUAAUGUCUUUUACACUAUAGUUUGAUUCUUGUUGUUGAAGUAUUUUGUAUAUUUUGAAAUUAUUUUAUAGGACAAAUAUUAUACAACAAUGUUUAUAUUGCAGAGAAAUUGUAUACCCUUAUUAAUAUAA